UUGGAACUAAUUCUACUACAUGGAUAACUGUAGUAAUUCUAGAGCUAAUACGUGCCUCGAUGCCCUGAUCCGCAAGGUGAGGGGUGCACUUAUUAGAUCGCAAAUCAAACCAUUUCGGUGGUAAUUUGUGGUGACUCUGGAUAACUUUGUAUGAUCGCAGCUGGCCUUGUUGUCGGCGACGGAUCCAUCAAAUAUCUGCCCUAUCAACUUUCGAUGGUAGGAGACAUGCCUACCAUGGUUAUGACGGGUAACGGGGAAUCAGGGUUCGAUUCCGGAGAGGGAGCCUGAGAAACGGCUACCACAUCCAAGGAAGGCAGCAGGCGCGUAAAUUACCCACUCUCUGAACGAGGAGGUAGUGAAGAUAAAUAUCGAUACAGAACUCAAAUGAGGCUCUGUAAUCGAAAUGAGUGCAAUAUAAAUCCUACAACGAGGAUCUAUUGGAGGGCAAGUCUGGUGCCAGCAGCCGCGGUAACUCCAGCUCCAAUAGCGUAUAUUAAAGUUGCUGCAGUUAAAAAGCUCGUAGUUGGAUCUGGGCCAUGUAGUGAUUGUCGGUUUUGGUGCUUCGUGCUAACGUGCGUUGUGCUAGGCCGGUAUAUUUGCUCAUGGCUUCGCAGCUGUGUCCUUUUGUCUUCGGGCAAUUGGAUGGUGUUGGGUGUUAGCCUUUGCCCCUUUACCGGGGGCGGGGGCAGCUCAAUGUCAUGUUCUGUUGAUGCUCUUAACCGGGUGUCCGGAACUCUCAGCACGUUUACUUUGAACAAAUUUGAGUGCUCAAAGCAGGCCGCUUGUUGCCUGAAAAUUCUUGCAUGGAAUAAUGAAAUAGGACUUUGGUCCUAUUUUGUUGGUUUGAUAGAACCGAAGUAAUGAUAAACAGAGACAGACGGGGGCAUUUGUAUGGCGGCGCUAGAGGUGAAAUUCGUGGACCGUCGCCAGACAAACUAAAGCGAAAGCAUCUGCCAAGUAUGUUUUCAUUUACCAGGAGCGAAAGUCAGAGGUUCGAAGACGAUCAGAUACCGUCCUAGUUCUGACCAUAAACGAUGCCAACUGACGAUCCGUGGUGUUUACUAUACAUGAACCCACGGGCAGUCUCCGGGAAACCUGUAAGUCUAUGGGUUCCGGGGAAAGUAUGGUUGCAAAACUGAAACUUAAAGGAAUUGACGGAAGGGCACCACCAGGAGUGGAGCUUGCGGCUUAAUUUGACUCACACGGGAAACUCACCCGACCCGGACACUGUGAGGAUUGAAGAUUGAAAGCUCUUCUUGUUCGGGGCUAGUGGUGCUGGCCUUCUUAGUUCGUGGUACGAGCUGUCUGGUUAAUUCCGAUAACGACGAGACUCUACCUGCUAAAUAACGUUGCAGAUUUUAGACCUUCUGCUAUGCCCGGUUUGGCUGGACUUAUAGCAGUGAACUCUUAAGGAUGGCCAUUUAUAAGUGCCGAGGGAGAGCAAUAACAGGUCUGUGAUGCCCUAAGAUGUCCGGGGCCGCACGCGUGCUACAAUGACGAUGCAAGUGAGCAUGAUUUACCUGGUCCGAAAGGAUUGGGAAACCUGUUUAAUCAUCGUCGUGACUGGAUGGGUUGUAUAUCCCCUGACGAGAUUCUAUAGCACAGUCUAGCUGUGUGAUACUCCUGCCUUGUCCCCGCCGUCCUCUACGAUGAUGGUUACAGGUAUUGAUGCUUUCCGGUCGCCGCUAAGUGAAAAUGACGACUGUCUUUAAGAAUAAAUCUACAGAACUUUCAUUCUCGAUCAUCCACUUCUAAUCAGCCUCUGCACGC
rnacentral:rRNA from 1 species